rnacentral:ncRNA from 12 species
GGGAAUUAGCUCAGCUGGCUAGAGCGUCUGCUUUGCACGCAGAAGGUCAUCGGUUCGACUCCGAUAUUCUCC